rnacentral:sRNA from 1 species
AUGGAAACACUUGCUGUAAACUAGCCUCUGGUCAAUAUGGAUGUUGUCCUUUACCAAAGGCCACAUGCUGUGAUGACCAUGUUCACUGCUGUCCCCAUGGCUACACUUGUGAUGUAUCAGCAGGAACAUGUAACAAAGGAAAUGAUAUUGUUGCUUGGCUCACAAAACAACCAGCUAAAGUUGUAGGGGAUGUACAGUGCGAUGACACCUCAAUAUGUCCAGAUGGAAACACUUGCUGUAAACUAGCCUCUGGUCAAUAUGGAUGUUGUCCUUUACCAAAGGCCACAUGCUGUGAUGACCAUGUCCACUGCUGUCCUAAUGGCUACACUUGUGAUGUAUC